GGCGAACGGGUGAGUAAUACGUGAGUGACCUACCUUUGACUCUGGGAUAAGCCUGGGAAACUGGGUCUAAUACCGGAUACGACCAAUCUCCGCAUGGGGUGUUGGUGGAAAGCGUUAUGGAGUGGUUUUAGAUGGGCUCACGGCCUAUCAGCUUGUUGGUGAGGUAAUGGCUUACCAAGGCGACGACGGGUAGCCGGCCUGAGAGGGUGACCGGCCACACUGGGACUGAGACACGGCCCAG
rnacentral:rRNA from 1 species